rnacentral:rRNA from 1 species
UACCCGCGUUGGACCGUGUACAAGUCUCCUGGAAUGGAGCGUCAUAGAGGGUGAGAAUCCCGUCUUUGACACGGACUACCAAGGCUUUGUGGUGCGCUCUCAACGAGUCGAGUUGUUUGGGAAUGCAGCUCAAAAUGGGUGGUAAAUUCCAUCUAAAGCUAAAUAUAGGCGAGAGACCGAUAGCGAACAAGUACCGUGAGGGAAAGAUGAAAAGAACUUUGGAAAGAGAGUUAAACAGUACGUGAAAUUGCUAAAAGGGAAACGCUGGAAGUCAGUCGCGUUGGCUGGGAAUCAACCUUACUCUUUUGUAGGGCUUAUUUUCUAGUUGACGGGCCAACAUCAAUUUUGAUUGCUGGAAAAGGGCCUAGGGAAUGUGGCACCUUCGGGUGUGUUAUAGCCUUGGGUCGUAUACAGUGGUUGGGAUUGAGGAACGCAGCACGCCGUAAGGUUGGGUUUCGACCACACUCGUGCUUCGGAUGUUGGCAUAAUGGCUUUCAUCGACCCGUCUUGAAACACGGACCAAGGAGUCUAACAUGCCUGCGAGUGUUUGAGUGGUAAACUCGAGCGCACAAUGAAAGUAAAAGUUGAGAUCUCUGUCAUGGAGAGCAUCGACGCCCGGACCAGAUGUUUACUGACGGUUCUGCGGUAGAGCAUGUAUGUUGGGACCCGAAAGAUGGUGAACUAUGCCUGAAUAGGGUGAAGCCAGAGGAAACUC